UCCCUGGCAGCCUAGUGGUUAAGGACUGGGCAUUGUCACUGCUGAGGCCCAGGAUCGAUUCCUGGCCUGGGAA
rnacentral:tRNA from 1 species